rnacentral:lncRNA from 1 species
CUCCGCUGCUAAGAAAAUGUAAUAGCUACUUAAGUGUUAGGAAAACCUUCAUAAGUAGAUGGUCACGGAAGAUGGGAAAGUUGCAGCUUAUAAUUCUCCAAAGUAUACCUUGAAGAAUCAUCAAACGAUAUUUUGAACAUAACAAUCAUUGAGAAUACCACUAAUAGUAAUGCACUUUAGUGAUACAAGAGAAAAUUUUAUUUCGUUAAGCUUAUAAUGUUUACAUCGAACGCCCCUUAUAUCUCUAUUAUGUAAUUGCAGCACACUAAGAGAUCGUUCCUAGAGGAAAAAGAUUGUCACAAACUUAACGCAAGAAGUUCAGCAACACCAGAAGAAGACUGCAGACAAAUUGCUCUAAACUCAAUUUUCACAAACGAGCACUAUUCCCAACUCUAACAUAGAAACCUCAAAUAAACUGGAAAUGACAUAAGCCCCUAGCAUCAGGCCGACACCCACCAACCAAAACACUUCAAAAUCACACAUUUCCGUAAUAUCACAAAAAUACCCACAUUCACAUAAUGAAUAUCAAUCGAAUUCCAACCUGAGAAGCGCUCGCGGCGGUUGAGUAAGCCCGAGGGGGAAGGCCAAAGCCCCACGAAAAGAAGCCGACGACGCCGCGGAGCUUGACGCCCCUGGCAGAUACCGAGGCGAGAACAUAGCUUCGCGAAGCGGUGGGCCAGUCAACGGGUGAACGGAGUUCCUGAACCAGAAGCAGAGCCGGGGAGCGACCGAGAGCGGAAGAGGGCAUAGGCAGCUCGGCGGCGGCGGAGGACCGUUGCAGAGGAGCCGAGGCCGCGUUCAUCGUGGCAAAGGCAAUCUUGGUGAGCUUGGAGGUGCUUCUCCUCGUGGCCACAGAAGGAACACGAGAGGGUUCUGAACUGGGUAUUAAAGGAGGAGGAGAGAGAAGAAGGAGAAGGGAUGGCGACUCAGUGGUGAUGCUUGGGGAGAGGGGGCAAAGGAGAGGGGAUCUGGCGAUGGCGCGUCAAAG